rnacentral:lncRNA from 1 species
UUUCAUCGGACACAGCACCUUGAAUAAUCCCGAGAGCCUUAGCAUCCUUGAUCAUGUUCUCCUUCAGCUGCUUUAGUUCAGCGACAGUGAGUUCUUCGUCUUCUUUCUUCACCGGAGGAUUAUACCCCGUUUCAACCAUAUCCCACAGAUCGUGAGAUCUGAAAAUGGUCUUCAUCUUUAUCUGCCAGAAAUCAAAGUUUUCCCCAUUGAAAAUCGGUGCUCGAAGAUCUGCACCACUCGAUCCAGCCAUAUUAGACUUGUUAUCGAGUUACCCAGAGAUUUUCAGAUCGUUCUUCAAUCGCAGCAAACUCGAUUCUCUGUCGAGUUCCUCAGCUGCGAACCUUGUCACAGAUUUACGCCCAG